rnacentral:lncRNA from 1 species
UCAAAAUGAGUUUGGGCCACGAGUGGUGCAACGUGUCAGCAGCAGCGUUAAGCGUGUGCUGUGAAUUGCCGCCUCGAUGGAGUGAGUAUUUAGCUCUAGCAUGUCAAGUAAAUUGGUAAAAGAAAACACCGUGCUCCCAAUACACGUUCUGUAAUUUCUACUUCUACUCGCUUCAUUUCAGUAUCAAUCCCGGCGGUGGUUUAAAUUCAUAUAAACAGGCAGUUAAAUAUAUGUAUGCACAGCAAUAAUGUAUAAAAUGAGCUGGCAGAGUGAAAAUCUAGAAAGAAGGAGAAACCCCCAAGGUGUAGAAACGGAAGAUCUUUAUAAGAAAAGGGCCCACCAAGAAAUAGAAACUGAAGUUUCUAAAGAAGAGGAGAAUGAAAAUCAAAUCGUUGUGGGUGAAAUUGGAAAGGGCGAGGGGUUUAAUAUAGUUGGGG